GCUAUUCCCCAGCUUUGAACUGUUUUAAUAGAAGUCAGUGUAAACAGAGCCAAAUCGUAGCUUUCGUUGUUUUAAAAUGGACAUCAAAGUAUUAACAGUUUUUCUAGUGGUUAUGGGUUCUGUACUGCUUGCUCAACAAGGUCACUGCUUUACAGCUGGAGCAGGGAACGUCAUCAAGCGAUUCCAAGCUGAAAAUAUCGAUCGACGAUCGUUGUCGUCUUUUUGCCGAACAGCAAGUGAACUGUGUUCAGCACCGGUAGAUGAUACCCACAAGAGAACUUUAUCGGAUGCUUAGGGAUAGAGAUGGCAUGUACAAUGGCGACUCUGGUUCUCUCACCAGAAAAAAAAUUGUAAACUUAAAAAAUUAGUUUCGCUGAUCGACUUGGCUUAAAGUUAACUGUAAUGUGUUAAAUCUUUGCUUGUUAAAAAAACCUAUUUGACCCAACAGCUAUUUGACACAUAGAAAAGUCUUACCUACGUACUUAAUCUAGUCGUAAAUAAAACCUAUGUAUUGUAAGUAUGUUAAUAAAUAUCACCUAGGCCGAUGAAAACGUAGUAAAUAAAUGGUUUAUA